rnacentral:rRNA from 1 species
CAGUAGCCGCGGUAAUGCGUAGGGUGCAAGCGUUAAUCGGAAUUACUGGGCGUAAAGCGUGCGCAGGCGGUUCGUUAAGACAGAUGUGAAAUCCCCGGGCUUAACCUGGGAACUGCAUUUGUGACUGGCGGGCUAGAGUAUGGCAGAGGGGGGUAGAAUUCCACGUGUAGCAGUGAAAUGCGUAGAGAUGUGGAGGAAUACCGAUGGCGAAGGCAGCCCCCUGGGCCAAUACUGACGCUCAUGCACGAAAGCGUGGGGAGCAAACAGGAUUAGAUACCCGCGUAGUCCCUGUCUCUUAUAC